rnacentral:rRNA from 1 species
AUGAUCAUACAAAAAAUUUAUGCCGGUUUGAACUUUGCUUCUAGAAAUCUUUUAGAUUCGGCCGCGGGAGGCACGUUUAUGGAAAUCACGUUAGGAUAUGCUACAAAACUUCUUGAUAAUAUUAUGGCUAAUUAUUCUCAAUGGCAUACCGAAAGAUCUUCUAGUAAAAAAGUGCAUGCUAUAGAAGAAAUCAAUGUUUUGAGUGGAAAGAUGGAUGAACUUAUGAAGAUGUUUGCUACUAAAAAUACUCCUCUUGAUCCCAAUGAUAUGCCUUUGUCUACUUUGAUUGAGAAUAAUAAUGAAUCUAUGGAUGUGAAUUUUGUUGGUAGGAAUAGUUUUGGAAAUAAUGCUUAUAGAGGAAACUUUAAUUCUAGACCGUUCCCUAGUAAUUCCUCUAAUAAUUAUGGAAAUUCCUACAAUAAUUCUUAUGGUAAUUUCAAUAAGAUGCCCUUUGAUUUUGAGAAUAGUGUGAAAGAGUUUAUGAUUUCUCAAAAGAAUUUUAAUGCUUUGCUUGAAGAAAAAUUGAUUAAAGUUGAUGAUUUGGCUAGGAACAUUGAUAGACUUUCGCUUGAUGUUGAUUCUCUUAAACUUAGAUCUUAUCCUCCUAAGCAUGAUAUCAAUGAGUCUCUCAAAGCCAUGGGAAUUUCCGUUGAUGAGUGCAAGGAAAGAACCGCUAGAUUGUGUGCUAAGAAAGAUUGCUUUGUAAAGGCGUGUUCUUCCAGUUUCAAUGAAAAUAAUGAUGAAGAUCUUAAAGUUAUUAAUGUGUCUCCUAUUAGAUCUUUGUUUUGCAAUAUGAAUCUUGAUAAUAAUGGGACUGGAGAUGAGUCAACUUUAUUUAGAAGGUGUCCCAAGAAUUCGGAGUUUUUAGAUCUUGAUGCUAAAUUUGGUAAAAGUGGGAUUGGGGAGGUCAUGACUUUAAAUAGCAUUGAACCCACUAUCUUGGAUUUCAAGGAAUUUGAUUAUGAUAAUUGUUCUUUAGAAGGUUGUAUUUCCUUGCUGCAAUCCGUCAUUAAUUCUCCUCAUGCUUAUAGUCAAAAUAAAGCUUUUACCAAACAUAUCAUUGAUGCCUUGAUGUAA